CAGUAGAUGCACCCUGAUCAAUAAUCCCUCAGCUUUUGCUGGGGGAUUUUUUU
rnacentral:sRNA from 1 species